GACGAACGCUGGCGGCGUGCCUAAUACAUGCAAGUAGAACGCACAGUUUAUACCGUAGCUUGCUACACCAUAGACUGUGAGUUGCGAACGGGUGAGUAACGCGUAGGUAACCUGCCUGGUAGCGGGGGAUAACUAUUGGAGACGAUAGCUAAUACCGCAUAAUAUUAAUUAUUGCAUGAUAAUUAAUUGAAAGGUGCAAUUGCACCACUACCAGAUGGACCUGCGUUGUAUUAGCUAGUAGGUGAGGUAACGGCUCACCUAGGCGACGAUACAUAGCCGACCUGAGAGGGUGAUCGGCCACACUGGGACUGAGACACGGCCCAGACUCCUACGGGAGGCAGCAGUAGGGAAUCUUCGGCAAUGGACGAAAGUCUGACCGAGCAACGCCGCGUGAGUGAAGAAGGUUUUCGGAUCGUAAAGCUCUGUUGUAAGAGAAGAACGGGUGUGAGAGUGGAAAGUUCACACUGUGACGGUAUCUUACCAGAAAGGGACGGCUAACUACGUG
rnacentral:rRNA from 1 species